CACGUAGGGCGCAAGCGUUUGUCCGGAAUUAUUGGGCGUAAAGGGCUCGUAGGCGGUUUGUCGCGUCGGGAGUGAAAUCCACUGGCUUAACUGGUGGCUUGCUUUCGAUACGGGCAGACUGGAGGUAUGCAGGGGAGAACGGAAUUCCUGGUGUAGCGGUGAAAUGCGCAGAUAUCAGGAGGAACACCGGUGGCGAAGGCGGUUCUCUGGGCAUGUCCUGACGCUGAGGAGCGAAAGUGUGGGGAGCGAACAGGG
rnacentral:rRNA from 1 species